rnacentral:lncRNA from 1 species
CUCUGCUCUUAAGACGCGUGUCUGCCGACGCUCCUGGCCGAAUAAAAAACCUCUUCCUUCUUUAAUCCGGUGUCCGAGGAGUUUUGUGUGCGACUCGUCCUGCUACAUUUCUUGGUUACAAAAACCUCUUCCUUCUUUAAUCCGGUGUCCGAGGAGUUUUGUCUGCGACUCGUCCUGCUACAUUUCUUGGUUACAAAAACCUCUUCCUUCUUUAAUCCGGUGUCUGAGGAGUUUUGUUUGCGACUCGUCCUGCUACAUUUCUUGGUUCCGUGACCGGGAAGCGAGGUGAUUGAAGGACGGUCGAGGCAGCCCCUUAGGCUGCUUAGGCCUGCCCUGUGGAGCGUCCCUGCAAGGGACUCUGGCCAGCUUGAGCGACGGGCAUCCUGAGAGCGCUCCCGGGUAGGCAAUUGCCCUGGUGGAACACCUCGUCAGAGCAGUGUGUGGCAGGCCCCCGCGGAGGAUCAACGUGGUGGCUGAACACCGGGAAGGAACUGGCACUAGAAGUCUGGACGUCUGAAACUUGGAACUCAUUAAUCUUCAAAGGCUUCAAGAGUGGCACAGAUGAAUCCAAUAUUCCUAUAUGACCUACUUUACUGAACUGGAAAAACUGCAUGCUGACAGCACAAAUGAUCUGUAAGAAGAGAUGCAGGUUGUAUAUGUCAGCCUCGCAGAGAACUCUUUCCAAAUACCACUGGGAGAACCAGAGCAACAUGACAACUCCACAGUAUAGCCCAAAAUACUGAAGGCUGCCUGCUAAGAAAGAGUAGACAGACCCAAUGUCCUCCGAUCAGUCUGGACUCAGUUCAUCCUUCCCCUGGUACAGAAGAGCUGCGUCAGUCAUUCUCUCUGUGAUCUACUGAUAAGAGUCCUGGACGGGGAAUUCCAAGGCCAUGGGUCUAUUCCCAGCCUUGCCACUAUGAAUGUGACCUCCAGCAGUUAGGUUCAUUCCACAAACAUUUCUAAGUGUCCAUGGUGACCCAGACAUCAUGGGAACUUCAGGGUUCCAGAGCUGAGUAGAACACAACUCCCAUCCUUAGGGAUUCACCAUCCAGUAGAGGAGAAAGACGUCGAGACAGAAGACAGAAGGGAAAGGAAAAGCUCAAUGCUGUGCCUUCAACUUAGCUUCUCCAUUUUUUGGAGAAGGGUUAAUAGGGGAAGCAGAGAGAGAGAGAUGAGAGACCAAAGUUUCUAGGGCCUUUAUCUCCAGAGCAGAGGGUCUGAAACCUUAGUGAGCAAAAACUGAUCCGGAAGACUUGUUGGAGGCAUACCUUCCAGUUCAGCGAGCCAUUUCAGCAGAUUGGAGGUCCCCUGCCUGCAGCACGUGCUGAUCUCCAAGGGUGAGGCUGGAUGAAGCCAGGGGCUAUGGAAAGGGAGACUGUUUCAGAGGACUUGACACCAUCUUCAGUAAUUUCUCUGGUUCUUGGCAGCUCCAUUUGGCUGCGUCCCUACCCUGCAUAACCCUCCCAGCUAGUCUACUCCAGGGCAGCAUCCAGCUGGUGACCUGAGAGGGCAGUGGCGCACCAGUCUCCAUGAAGGUUGAGCUCCGAUGGCCAACAGCCAUUUCCACCUUGUGGUCUACAACUCUUCAUCCCGACUGCAUGGAGGUUGGUCUCUCUCUUCAGCUGGAUUUAGGCCACCAUCUGAGCCCCCGGGGUACGUUUUGUCUGACCCUGGCGCCAUUCGAACGGUUCUUCUACAGCAUCAGGAGAACCUGGCUACAAGUCCCAGCCUUUACCAUGGAGGCUGAAGGUGUGGGGAGGGACUUCAGCCUUCUCCUCAGCCCUGCCCUUACUCUGAGACAAGGAGCACCCCUGGCACCGCAGUGAGAUCUCUGCCCUGCCAGCAGGCAGAGCCCUGGCACAGUCCUUUGCCCCAUCUCUUCUUCCCUCUACUAUUCAAGGUGGCUUACUUUGAAUCCAUUCUUCCUGUCAGGCCAUUGUUCCUUACGUUCACCUGGCUCCUAGGGCUUUUGUGCUGUAGGCCUAUAUUUCCAGCUACUUUUGGAAAAAAUCUCUCUGGAGGCUCAAUGAGCUUGUCACAUCAGCCUGCCCAGAGGUAAAGCACAUUUCUCUGCCCUCACACGCCUCUCCCUUGCUGUCUUUAACUUAAUCAAUGCCCGUAACACCCUCUACAAUGCUGAGCAAGCUCAGAUCCUCCUAGUCUUCAUGGCAUCCUUCUUUUUCUUUUUCCAUUGGUCUAAUCUGAUUGAAUUUAAAUUUUGCACAUUUUGCAUGAGUAAUUCUCUUGCAUGAAUCUCUUUCUCUUCCUCCCUUCUGCCAUCACUGGCUCUUGUCCUCUCUUUACUGGACUGUAGAAUAAUCUCUUUGGUGGUCUUCCUGUGGUCUUCCCUUCCCCUCCACUAAAUCUACUCUCUAUUCAGUAUCAAGAAAGACUUAAUCAGCAGUGAAUACUCUCCACCAAGCCCUUGACCCAUUGUCAGUCUCUGGCAUCAGAUCCUUUCCAGUAGGGCAAAGUGCAACUGCAGCCAGCUCAUGCCUUCAAGAGAAGGACUGAAGAUCAUUGUGUGCCUAAACCAAGUAAGUCUAACUGCUCCUUCACCAGCUCACCCAAAACUAUAGGGGCCUUCUACAGUCACGUUCCCAUAGCUCUGGGAAUUCCUCCAGACUUGAACUCUGGUUUGGCUUCCCCAGUUUAUAUCCUAUGCUUCAUACCAAGGUCUUCCCACUUUGCCUAUCCUACAAGAAGUAGUGGCCAGGUUGGACUUUCUGAUAAGUUUGGAGAUUGCUUCUUGGCUGACCCUUGGUACCUUGUUCUACUAGCCACAGCUAAGCUCCACAAAGCCUAGGUGAGUGGGACACUGCAACCCAGCCCAGACCCAACACUAUGACCUUCUACCAGUUGAGCAUGGGAUCAAGAUGAGACUUCUAGUGCCAAUACUAAAGACUAUGAGGUUUGCAAGGUGAAGUUCACUGUCAACCUCUUAUAGUCCAUAACAAAUAUUUCUAGUUUGUUCACUCAUUGAGUCAUCCAACAAGUAUUUAUAGAGCAACCGUCAAGUGCCAUAUACAUUCCAUGGUGUUAGGGAUAUAGCAGGGAAAAUGUCAGACAAGGUUUCUACUCAUAGAAUCCAUAUUCUACUAUUGGAGGAAAAGAGAUAGCACAUAUAGCAUCAGUCAUUGUCAAUGAUCUUAAAUGUCUGAAGACAAUUAGCUUUAUAAGAUGUAAGUGACUGAGAGGGAAGGGCUAUUUUAGACAAAAUGCUCAAGGAAUUAGCUCUGGGAAUAUGAUGUUUAAACAGAGAUCUGAAUGACAAGAAGAAGCCAGCAUGCCAAUGUUGGUGGGCAGAGUAUACUGGGUAGAGAGACCAGCACAAGUACAAAACUCUAAAGUGGGAAUGAACCUGGAUGAGUCUGAAGGAUGGGAAAAAGAAUCAUGUGGCUGGAUUUGAUGAGCAAAGAGGUGAAUAAGAGGAAAAAUUAAGUCAAACAGGAAGACACAGACUAGAUCAUGUAAGGCCUUGGUAAGUGAUAUGGUUUGGCUGUGUCCCCACCCAAAUCUCAUCUUGAAUUGUAGUUCCCAUAAUUCCCACUGUUGUGGGAGGGACCCAGUGGGAGAUAAUUGAAUCAUGGGGGUGAUUACCCCAUGCUGCUGUUCUCAUGACAGUGAGCGAGUUUUCACGAGAUCUGAUGGUUUUAUAAGUUUUAUAAGGGGUUUUCCCCCCUUUUGCUCGGCACUUCUCUCUUGCCUGCCACCAUGUAAGACAUACCUUUGCUUCUCCUUCUCCUUCUGCCAUGAUUGUGAGGCCUCCCACCCAUGUAGAACUGUGAGUCCAUUAAACCUCUUUUCCCUUAUAAAUUACCCAGUCUCAGAUAUGUCUUUCUUAGCAGCAUGAGAACAAACUAAUACAGUAAAUUUGCAUAAGACAUUUGCCCUUCCCUUUGAAAGCAAUGGGAAGCCAUGCUCUGCAUACUCAGAAUAAGAGUGAGAUUGGAAACCAUGGUGAUUGAAGACCUAUUGGGAGUGAAGACUUGAGCCUUGAAGGAGAGAGUGACUGCAAAGUUUCUCAGAUAUCUGCAACUGGGGAUGAUAUCUGGAUGGGAUGCCUGGGCCCUGGGGUUAGUGAGGAGUUCAAAGAAGAAGGAGCAGAAAUGGAUUCAGGAGAGAGUGAGCAGAGACUCAAUGUUCUGUAAGUAAGUGCUCCUACAGGGGAAGGGUUAGAGAGGUCGGUAGAGGGGCCCAGGAUUCCGGGAAGCUGGAGAUUCCAGCUCUAAGACAUGCUAUUGUAGCCUCAAGACAGAUGCACAAUUAUAGGUUGCAACAGUGGAGUGAUUUUGAAGAAGCAAAAAUACUCAGUGCAAUGGACUGAAUGUUAGUGUCCUUCCAAAAUUCAUAUGUUGAAACCCUAAUCUACUAUGUGUUAGGAUUAGGAGGUAAAGCCAUUGGGAGGUAAUGAGGGUGGAGUUCUCAGGAAUAGGAUUGGUGCUCUUAUCAACAGAACCCCAGAUAGCUCUCUCGCCCUCACUCCACCACAUGAGGAUACAAGAAGUCUGCAGUGUGCAAUCUGGAAAGGGCCCUCAACAGAACCCGACCAUGCUGACACUUUGAUCUUGGACUUCCAGGCUCCAGAACUGGGAGAAAUAAACUUCUGUUGUUUGCAUGUCAUCUCUUUCCUGCCACCAUGUGAAGAAGGACAUGUUUGCUUCCCCUUCUGCCAUGAAUGGACAGGGUCCUGCUGUGUUGCCCAGGCUGGCCUUGAACUCCUGGCUUCAAACAGUCUUCCCACUUGGGCUCCCAAAGUGCUGGGAUUAAAGGGGCGAGUUACAGCACCAGGACCUGAAAUGUUAUACACCCCAUCUUGAUGACAAUGCAUUAAUGGGGAUAAAUACUCCCCAGAAGAGCUUCGGCCUGUCCUGAGAUCUGCAACACAAGGAGUUUUUAACCUGGAAAGUGUGCUUAAUUCUUCUACUGCCUCUUCUUGAGGGCUGCCUAAGUACAGAAUGUUUGGUGUCCUGGAGGGUGCCCAGGCUAACAGUGAGAAUUGGAUAGCUCCAUCAGGGCCUUGGGCACUGGGCCUAUGGAGUAGCCUGUACUUCUUGCUCUUUUCAACACUUGAAGGGAGAGGGGGCCGAGUUCUCUCGCAGAGUUGCUCUAUGGCAGUGGCAGCAGCCAGCUGGAUAUCACGGGAAAAUGCCCGCUCCGUGAAACGGUCAUAUAUGCAAAGUAGCCCCCAAAGGCCAAAAGAGCCAAGAAACCAAAGAACAAGCCACACAACUAAAAACAUGGCCAGCAAAGCAGGUGAGGCAAAGAUCAGGAAGGACAUUAAACGCCAAACUAAGGAGGACAGACAGCCUCUCCAAGACUCUCUGAAAAUAACUCUUAGCCAGACAAUAGCAAUUUCUCCUUGCUGUGCUGCCAUUCUCUGCCAAAGG